UUAUACAGCGAAACUGCGAAUGGCUCAUUAUAUAAGUUAUCGUUUAUUUGAUAGUACCUUACUACUUGGAUAACCGUGGUAAUUCUAGAGCUAAUACAUGCUAAAAAUCCCGACUUCGGAAGGGAUGUAUUUAUUAGAUUAAAAACCAAUGCCCUCUGGGCUCCUUGGUGAUUCAUAAUAACUUUUCGAAUCGCAUGGCCUUGCGCCGGCGAUGGUUCAUUCAAAUUUCUUCCCUAUCAACUUUCGAUGUUUGGGUAUUGGCCAAACAUGGUCGCAACGGGUAACGGAGGGUUAGGGCUCGACCCCGGAGAAGGAGCCUGAGAAACGGCUACUACAUCCAAGGAAGGCAGCAGGCGCGCAAAUUACCCAAUCCCGAUUCGGGGAGGUAGUGACAAUAAAUACUGAUACAGGGCUCUUUUGGGUCUUGUAAUUGGAAUGAGUACAAUUUAAAUCUCUUAACGAGGAACAAUUGGAGGGCAAGUCUGGUGCCAGCAGCCGCGGUAAUUCCAGCUCCAAUAGCGUAUAUUAAAGUUGUUGUGGUUAAAAAGCUCGUAGUUGAACCUUGGGCCUGGCUGGCCGGUCCGCCUCACCGCGUGUACUGGUCCGGCCGGGCCUUUCCCUCUGUGGAACCUCAUGCCCUUCACUGGGUGUGGCGGGGAAACAGGACUUUUACUUUGAAAAAAUUAGAGUGCUCCAGGCAGGCCUAUGCUCGAAUACAUUAGCAUGGAAUAAUAAAAUAGGACGUGUGGUUCUAUUUUGUUGGUUUCUAGGACCGCCGUAAUGAUUAAUAGGGACAGUCGGGGGCAUCAGUAUUCAAUUGUCAGAGGUGAAAUUCUUGGAUUUAUUGAAGACUAACUACUGCGAAAGCAUUUGCCAAGGAUGUUUUCAUUAAUCAGGAACGAAAGUUAGGGGAUCGAAGACGAUCAGAUACCGUCGUAGUCUUAACCAUAAACUAUGCCGACUAGGGAUCGGACGAUGUUAUUUUUUGACGCGUUCGGCACCUUACGAGAAAUCAAAGUGCUUGGGCUCCA
rnacentral:rRNA from 1 species